GAUGAACGCUGGCGGCGUGCCUAAUACAUGCAAGUCGAGCGAACGGACGAGAAGCUUGCUUCUCUGAUGUUAGCGGCGGACGGGUGAGUAACACGUGGAUAACCUACCUAUAAGACUGGGAUAACUUCGGGAAACCGGAGCUAAUACCGGAUAAUAUUUUGAACCGCAUGGUUCAAAAGUGAAAGACGGUCUUGCUGUCACUUAUAGAUGGAUCCGCGCUGCAUUAGCUAGUUGGUAAGGUAACGGCUUACCAAGGCAACGAUGCAUAGCCGACCUGAGAGGGUGAUCGGCCACACUGGAACUGAGACACGGUCCAGACUCCUACGGGAGGCAGCAGUAGGGAAUCUUCCGCAAUGGGCGAAAGCCUGACGGAGCAACGCCGCGUGAGUGAUGAAGGUCUUCGGAUCGUAAAACUCUGUUAUUAGGGAAGAACAUAUGUGUAAGUAACUGUGCACAUCUUGACGGUACCUAAUCAGAAAGCCACGGCGAACUACGU
rnacentral:rRNA from 1 species